rnacentral:rRNA from 1 species
AACGAACGCUGGCGGCAUGCCUAACACAUGCAAGUCGAACGAAGCCUUCGGGCUUAGUGGCGCACGGGUGCGUAACGCGUGGGAAUCUGCCCUUGGGUUCGGAAUAACAGUUAGAAAUGACUGCUAAUACCGGAUGAUGUCUUCGGACCAAAGAUUUAUCGCCCAAGGAUGAGCCCGCGUAGGAUUAGGCAGUUGGUGGGGUAAUGGCCCACCAAGCCGACGAUCCUUAGCUGGUCUGAGAGGAUGAUCAGCCACACUGGGACUGAGACACGGCCCAGACUCCUACGGGAGGCAGCAGUGGGGAAUAUUGGACAAUGGGCGAAAGUCUGAUCCAGCAAUGCCGCGUGAGUGAUGAAGGCCUUAGGGUUGUAAAGCCCUUUUACCAGGGAUGAUAAUGACAGUACCUGGAGAAUAAGCUCCGGCUAACUCCGUGCCAGCCGCCGCCGUAA